rnacentral:rRNA from 1 species
AUUGAACGCUGGCGGCAUGCCUUACACAUGCAAGUCGAACGGCAGCACGGGAGCAAUCCUGGUGGCGAGUGGCGAACGGGUGAGUAAUACAUCGGAACGUGCCCAAUCGUGGGGGAUAACGCAGCGAAAGCUGUGCUAAUACCGCAUACGAUCUACGGAUGAAAGCAGGGGAACGCAAGACCUUGCGCGAAUGGAGCGGC